ACCGUUUUAAUAAUCAUUCAAAUCACAGGUCGUGGGUGGGUGUAUGACUUAAUACAAUGAUUUGGUUCAUCAGUGGUUCAUGAAAUCAUCAGUGACAUAUCCACAUUACAUCAUGAACAUCAAUUGAUUACAUCAUCAUGAUUUUAAAGUUCAUCAGUUCGGUUGUUUGAGUACUUUUAAAAAAAAUGCACAGAAUCUUGAAGGUAGUUGUUUGCAAGAAAAGGAGAAACCGCCUGGGUGCUCGCCGUGCCAUCAGAAUCAUUAUCUCAGCCGCUCGACUCCUUAAACCCUCUGAAAGGGUAACGGUAGUAACUCAUUCCUCACUUGGUGGUUUCCCAUCCUGUAUGGCUCUCAGGUCUUCAGUCAUGAUAACUCACUGUCCCUCAUGAAUCACAGGGCCUGAGGUGAAGACAGACGACUCAUCUCCUUCGCCAUCUGUCCCCUUUUGACAAGCUUGUCGAAGGAAGAUGUCGGUUCAUCAUCAUAACGCUCUCUGCUACAGCGGCUCUAGUCUCCUCUCCCGCAGCGGCUCUAGGUCUCCUCUCACGCAGCGGCUCUAGUCUCCUCUGCCGCAGCGGCUCUAGUCUCCUCUGCCGCAGCGGCUCUAGUCUCCUCUGCCGCAGCGGCUCUAGUCUCCUCUGCCGCAGCGGCUCUAGUCUCCUCUGCCGCAGCGGCUCUAGUCUCCUCUCACGCAGCGGCUCUAGUCUCCUCUCCCGCAGCGGCUCUAGGUCUCCUCUCACGCAGCGGCUCUAGGUCUCCUCUCACGCAGCGGCUCUAGGUCUCCUCUGCUACAGCGGCUCUAGGUCUCCUCUCACGCAGCGGCUCUAGGUCUCCUCUGCUACAGCGGCUCUAGGUCUCCUCUGCUACAGCGGCUCUAGGUCUCCUCUCACGCAGCGGCUCUAGGUCUCCUCUCACGCAGCGGCUCUAGGUCUCCUCUCCCGCAGCGGCUCUAGUUCUCCUCUCACGCAGCGGCUCUAGGUCUCCUCUCCCGCAGCGGCUCUAGGUCUCCUCUGCUACAGCGGCUCUAGUCUCCUCUGCUACAGCGGCUCUAGGUCUGUACCAGAAGUGUGAAAGCUGAUACAGGCUUUCUAAACCUGACCUCUGCCUCGUCUCUCCUCUUAUCCCCCCCCCACCCCAG
ensembl:lncRNA